rnacentral:rRNA from 1 species
GGUUAAGCGACUAAGCGUACACGGUGGAUGCCCUGGCAGUCAGAGGCGAUGAAGGACGUGCUAAUCUGCGAUAAGCGUCGGUAAGGUGAUAUGAACCGUUAUAACCGGCGAUUUCCGAAUGGGGAAACCCAGUGUGUUUCGACACACUAUCAUUAACUGAAUCCAUAGGUUAAUGAGGCGAACCGGGGGAACUGAAACAUCUAAGUACCCCGAGGAAAAGAAAUCAACCGAGAUUCCCCCAGUAGCGGCGAGCGAACGGGGAGCAGCCCAGAGCCUGAAUCAGUGUGUGUGUUAGUGGAAGCGUCUGGAAAGGCGCGCGAUACAGGGUGACAGCCCCGUACACAAAAAUGCACAUGCUGUGAGCUCGAUGAGUAGGGCGGGACACGUGGUAUCCUGUCUGAAUAUGGGGGGACCAUCCUCCAAGGCUAAAUACUCCUGACUGACCGAUAGUGAACCAGUACCGUGAGGGAAAGGCGAAAAGAACCCCGGCGAGGGGAGUGAAAAAGAACCUGAAACCGUGUACGUACAAGCAGUGGGAGCACGCUUAGGCGUGUGACUGCGUACCUUUUGUAUAAUGGGUCAGCGACUUAUAUUCUGUAGCAAGGUUAACCGAAUAGGGGAGCCGAAGGGAAACCGAGUCUUAACUGGGCGUUAAGUUGCAGGGUAUAGACCCGAAACCCGGUGAUCUAGCCAUGGGCAGGUUGAAGGUUGGGUAACACUAACUGGAGGACCGAACCGACUAAUGUUGAAAAAUUAGCGGAUGACUUGUGGCUGGGGGUGAAAGGCCAAUCAAACCGGGAGAUAGCUGGUUCUCCCCGAAAGCUAUUUAGGUAGCGCCUCGUGAAUUCAUCUCCGGGGGUAGAGCACUGUUUCGGCAAGGGGGUCAUCCCGACUUACCAACCCGAUGCAAACUGCGAAUACCGGAGAAUGUUAUCACGGGAGACACACGGCGGGUGCUAACGUCCGUCGUGAAGAGGGAAACAACCCAGACCGCCAGCUAAGGUCCCAAAGUCAUGGUUAAGUGGGAAACGAUGUGGGAAGGCCCAGACAGCCAGGAUGUUGGCUUAGAAGCAGCCAUCAUUUAAAGAAAGCGUAAUAGCUCACUGGUCGAGUCGGCCUGCGCGGAAGAUGUAACGGGGCUAAACCAUGCACCGAAGCUGCGGCAGCGACGCUUAUGCGUUGUUGGGUAGGGGAGCGUUCUGUAAGCCUGUGAAGGUGUGCUGUGAGGCAUGCUGGAGGUAUCAGAAGUGCGAAUGCUGACAUAAGUAACGAUAAAGCGGGUGAAAAGCCCGCUCGCCGGAAGACCAAGGGUUCCUGUCCAACGUUAAUCGGGGCAGGGUGAGUCGACCCCUAAGGCGAGGCCGAAAGGCGUAGUCGAUGGGAAACAGGUUAAUAUUCCUGUACUUGGUGUUACUGCGAAGGGGGGACGGAGAAGGCUAUGUUGGCCGGGCGACGGUUGUCCCGGUUUAAGCGUGUAGGCUGGUUUUCCAGGCAAAUCCGGAAAAUCAAGGCUGAGGCGUGAUGACGAGGCACUACGGUGCUGAAGCAACAAAUGCCCUGCUUCCAGGAAAAGCCUCUAAGCAUCAGGUAACAUCAAAUCGUACCCCAAACCGACACAGGUGGUCAGGUAGAGAAUACCAAGGCGCUUGAGAGAACUCGGGUGAAGGAACUAGGCAAAAUGGUGCCGUAACUUCGGGAGAAGGCACGCUGAUAUGUAGGUGAAGUCCCUUGCGGAUGGAGCUGAAAUCAGUCGAAGAUACCAGCUGGCUGCAACUGUUUAUUAAAAACACAGCACUGUGCAAACACGAAAGUGGACGUAUACGGUGUGACGCCUGCCCGGUGCCGGAAGGUUAAUUGAUGGGGUCAGCGCAAGCGAAGCUCUUGAUCGAAGCCCCGGUAAACGGCGGCCGUAACUAUAACGGUCCUAAGGUAGCGAAAUUCCUUGUCGGGUAAGUUCCGACCUGCACGAAUGGCGUAAUGAUGGCCAGGCUGUCUCCACCCGAGACUCAGUGAAAUUGAACUCGCUGUGAAGAUGCAGUGUACCCGCGGCAAGACGGAAAGACCCCGUGAACCUUUACUAUAGCUUGACACUGAACAUUGAGCCUUGAUGUGUAGGAUAGGUGGGAGGCUUUGAAGUGUGGACGCCAGUCUGCAUGGAGCCGACCUUGAAAUACCACCCUUUAAUGUUUGAUGUUCUAACGUUGACCCGUAAUCCGGGUUGCGGACAGUGUCUGGUGGGUAGUUUGACUGGGGCGGUCUCCUCCUAAAGAGUAACGGAGGAGCACGAAGGUUGGCUAAUCCUGGUCGGACAUCAGGAGGUUAGUGCAAUGGCAUAAGCCAGCUUGACUGCGAGCGUGACGGCGCGAGCAGGUGCGAAAGCAGGUCAUAGUGAUCCGGUGGUUCUGAAUGGAAGGGCCAUCGCUCAACGGAUAAAAGGUACUCCGGGGAUAACAGGCUGAUACCGCCCAAGAGUUCAUAUCGACGGCGGUGUUUGGCACCUCGAUGUCGGCUCAUCACAUCCUGGGGCUGAAGUAGGUCCCAAGGGUAUGGCUGUUCGCCAUUUAAAGUGGUACGCGAGCUGGGUUUAGAACGUCGUGAGACAGUUCGGUCCCUAUCUGCCGUGGGCGCUGGAGAACUGAGGGGGGCUGCUCCUAGUACGAGAGGACCGGAGUGGACGCAUCACUGGUGUUCGGGUUGUCAUGCCAAUGGCACUGCCCGGUAGCUAAAUGCGGAAGAGAUAAGUGCUGAAAGCAUCUAAGCACGAAACUUGCCCCGAGAUGAGUUCUCCCUGACUCCUUGAGAGUCCUGAAGGAACGUUGAAGACGACGACGUUGAUAGGCCGGGUGUGUAAGCGCAGCGAUGCGUUGAGCUAACCGGUACUAAUGAACCGUGAGGCUUAACCUU